UCCCCGGUGGUGUAAUCGGAAACACGUCAGAUUUUGGUUCUGAAGAGUCCAGGUUCGAUCCCUGGCCGGGGAG
rnacentral:tRNA from 1 species